UACAGCUGUGUCCGUUCCUCUACCAGAUGUUCCAGGUUUCGGGAAUACAGCUGAAGACGUCGGAUCAAGGUCUUUAACAUUUACACCUCCACAUGGAACGGACUGUACCUGUGCGCAUUGCUUCAGAUUCCUAUUUAAGUCAGAAACUGACAUCUUAAGAGAAAAAUCUUGCUACUGGCUGUUUGGAUGUCUGGAGCAGUGACCUUCAUAGUUUGGAUGGACACAGCUUUGGACAACAUGAAGUUGGAUGUUUGUUUUUAAACUAAAUGAAGAUCAGCUGUCAUCUAUGUGCCUGAUUAAAGGUGAAGCAGCAGAGAGCUGAAGUAAGACCUAUCCCUUUCAUUAAAGGAUCUACUAUAUAGGUGAGAAAAAAGACAUACAUGCUAUGAAUAAAACCAGAACAUUGCAGGGCUUCAUACACACUGCACUAAGUGUGCCUGAGGUAUCACACAGUUAAUUAUCUUCAUGAAAGUUCAGACAGACAGAACAGAAACUAUUUCACUGAAAC